rnacentral:rRNA from 1 species
UUGCUCUGUGGGAUCAGUGGCGAACGGGUGAGUAACACGUGAGCAACCUGCCCCUGACUCUGGGAUAAGCGCUGGAAACGGCGUCUAAUACUGGAUACGAGUAGCGACCGCAUGGUCAGUUACUGGAAAGAUUUAUUGGUUGGGGAUGGGCUCGCGGCCUAUCAGCUUGUUGGUGAGGUAAUGGCUCACCAAGGCGUCGACGGGUAGCCGGCCUGAGAGGGUGACCGGCCACACUGGGACUGAGACACGGCCCAGACUCCUACGGGAGGCAGCAGUGGGGAAUAUUGCACAAUGGGCGCAAGCCUGAUGCAGCAACGCCGCGUGAGGGAUGACGGCCUUCGGGUUGUAAACCUCUUUUAGCAGGGAAGAAGCGAAAGUGACGGUACCUGCAGAAAAAGCGCCGGCUAACUACGUGCCAGCAGCCGCGGUAAUACGUAGGGCGCAAGCGUUAUCCGGAAUUAUUGGGCGUAAAGAGCUCGUAGGCGGUUUGUCGCGUCUGCUGUGAAAUCCGGAGGCUCAACCUCCGGCCUGCAGUGGGUACGGGCAGACUAGAGUGCGGUAGGGGAGAUUGGAAUUCCUGGUGUAGCGGUGGAAUGCGCAGAUAUCAGGAGGAACACCGAUGGCGAAGGCAGAUCUCUGGGCCGUAACUGACGCUGAGGAGCGAAAGGGUGGGGAGCAAACAGGCUUAGAUACCCUGGUAGUCCACCCCGUAAACGUUGGGAACUAGUUGUGGGGUCCAUUCCACGGAUUCCGUGACGCAGCUAACGCAUUAAGUUCCCCGCCUGGGGAGUACGGCCGCAAGGCUAAAACUCAAAGGAAUUGACGGGGACCCGCACAAGCGGCGGAGCAUGCGGAUUAAUUCGAUGCAACGCGAAGAACCUUACCAAGGCUUGACAUAUACGAGAACGGGCCAGAAAUGGUCAACUCUUUGGACACUCGUAAACAGGUGGUGCAUGGUUGUCGUCAGCUCGUGUCGUGAGAUGUUGGGUUAAGUCCCGCAACGAGCGCAACCC